rnacentral:rRNA from 1 species
UGCAGUCGAGCGAGGGCUCUUUCCCGCAAGGGAAUGAGUUCCUACGGCGAACGGGUGAGUAACACGUGGGCACCUUUCCUAUCGCGGGGGAUAACAGCGGGAAACCGCUGCUAAUACCGCAUGUCCUCCCGGUCGCAUGGCGGUGAAGAAAGCACAUGCCGAUGGGGUGGCCCGCGGCCUAUCUCUAUUCGUGGGGUACGGCCUACCGAGGCAACGGUACUGGUCGAGAGACACCACCCACCGGGACUGACACACGCCCCACUCCUACGGGAGGCCAGUGAGAUCUUCCGCAUGGGCGAAAGCCUGACGAGCACGCCGCGUGUGGAUGAAUCCUUCGGGAUGUAAACCAUGUUGGAGGGAAGACAUCACGGUACCCUCCGAGAAAGCCCCGGCUAACUACGUGCCUCAACGCGUAAUACGUAGGGGGCGAGCGUUAUCCAAUUUACUGGCGUAAAGCGCGUGUGCGGUGGUUAAGUGUGAUGUGAAAUCCUCG